rnacentral:rRNA from 1 species
CAACUUUUGGCAACGGAUUUCUUGGCUCUCGUAACGAUGGAGAACGCAGCGAAAUGCGAUACGUAUCAUGAAUUGCAGAACUCUGAAUGAUAAAUAUUUGAACGCACAUUGCGCCGGCCUUUUUGGCUGGCAUGUCUUUCUGAGACGUAAUUA